GAUCUCAAAUCAGGUAGGACUACCCGCUGAACUUAAGCAUAUCAAUAAGCGGAGGAAAAGAAACUAACAAGGAUUCCCCUAGUAGCGGCGAGCGAAGCGGGAAGAGCUCAAAUUUAUAAUCUGGCACCUUCGGUGUCCGAGUUGUAAUCUCUAGAAGUGUUUUCCGCGUUGGACCGCACACAAGUCUGUUGGAAUACAGCGGCAUAGUGGUGAAACCCCCGUAUAUGGUGCGGACGCCCAGCGCUUUGUGAUACACUUUCAAUGAGUCGAGUUGUUUGGGAAUGCAGCUCAAAUUGGGUGGUAAAUUCCAUCUAAAGCUAAAUAUUGGCGAGAGACCGAUAGCGAACAAGUACCGUGAGGGAAAGAUGAAAAGCACUUUGGAAAGAGAGUUAACAGUACGUGAAAUUGUUGGAAGGGAAACGCUUGAAGUCAGACUUGCUUGCCGGAGCUUGCUUCGGUUUGCAGGCCAGCAUCAGUUUUCCGGGGUGGAUAAUGACGGUUUGAAGGUAGCAGUCUCGGCUGUGUUAUAGCUUUCCGUUGGAUACAUCCUGGGGGACUGAGGAACGCAGCGUGCUUUUUGCGAAAGACUCGUCUUUUUCACGCUUAGGAUGCUGGUGGAAUGGCUUUAAACGACCCGUCUUGAAACACGGACCA
rnacentral:rRNA from 1 species